UUGGUAACUGAGUAAAAUUUAAGAUUAAUGGAGAUUUGAUGGUAAGGAAAUGCAAAAGUGGUUACACUUACAACUUCAAUAGAAAUCGACGUAAUUAUUGAGGGAUCAUGAGACUAUUUUUAGUGGUAAUUCGAUUUCCGUGUCUUGGCAAAUUGGUAGUUUGAAAUGUAGGAGAGUAAGACCCAACAGUAGGACGAAAGAAAACCUAUGGAUAUUGUAG
rnacentral:lncRNA from 1 species